rnacentral:rRNA from 1 species
CAGCUUGCUGGAUGCUGACGAGCGGCGGACGGGUGAGUAAUGCAUAGGAAUCUGCCCGAUAGUGGGGGAUAACCUGGGGAAACCCAGGCUAAUACCGCAUACGUCCUACGGGAGAAAGGGGGCUCCGGCUCCCGCUAUGGGAUGAGCCUAUGUCGGAUUAGCUAGUUGGUGAGGUAACGGCUCACCAAGGCCACGAUCCGUAGCUGGUCUGAGAGGAUGAUCAGCCACAUCGGGACUGAGACACGGCCCGAACUCCUACGGGAGGCAGCAGUGGGGAAUAUUGGACAAUGGGGGAAACCCUGAUCCAGCCAUGCCGCGUGUGUGAAGAAGGCCCUCGGGUUGUAAAGCACUUUCAGCGAGGAAGAACGCCUAGCGGUUAAUACCCGCUAGGAAAGACAUCACUCGCAGAAGAAGCACCGGCUAACUCCGUGCCAGCAGCCGCGGUAAUACGGAGGGUGCAAGCGUUAAUCGGAAUUACUGGGCGUAAAGCGCGCGUAGGUGGCUUGAUAAGCCGGUUGUGAAAGCCCCGGGCUCAACCUGGGAACGGCAUCCGGAACUGUCAAGCUAGAGUGCAGGAGAGGAAGGUAGAAUUCCCGGUGUAGCGGUGAAAUGCGUAGAGAUCGGGAGGAAUACCAGUGGCGAAGGCGGCCUUCUGGACUGACACUGACACUGAGGUGCGAAAGCGUGGGUAGCAAACAGGAUUAGAUACCCUGGUAGUCCACGCCGUAAACGAUGUCGACCAGCCGUUGGGUGCCUAGCGCACUUUGUGGCGAAGUUAACGCGAUAAGUCGACCGCCUGGGGAGUACGGCCGCAAGGUUAAAACUCAAAUGAAUUGACGGGGGCCCGCACAAGCGGUGGAGCAUGUGGUUUAAUUC